rnacentral:rRNA from 1 species
UCGAGAAUUUUUCACAAUGGGGGAAACCCUGAUGGAGCGACGCCGCGUGGAGGAUGAAGGCCUUUUGGUCGUAAACUCCUGUCAUGCGAGAACAAGAAAGUGAUAGUAUCGCAAGAGGAAGAGGCGGCUAACUCUGUGCCAGCAGCCGCGGUAAUACAGAGGCCUCAAGCGUUGUUCGGAUUCAUUGGGCGUAAAGGGUGCGUAGGUGGCUUGUUAAGUUGAAGGUGAAAUCUCGGGGCUCAACUCCGAAACUGCCUUCAAUACUGGCGAGCUCGAGGAUUGUAGAGGAGAAUGGAAUUCACGGUGUAGCAGUGAAAUGCGUAGAUAUCGUGAGGAAGACCAGUGGCGAAGGCGAUUCUCUGGGCAAUUCCUGACACUGAGGCACGAAGGCCAGGGGAGCAAACGG